ensembl:snoRNA
CCGCACUGCUAAGUGACUGGACUUCCUCCAUCGUGGUUUUCCAAUCUCAUUCCAGUGCCACAUUAACCUCAGUUUGCAGAAGGGUUGAGCUCCAACCAUGGCUACCCCCUUUCGAAGGCUGAGGACAAAC